AGAGUUUGAUCAUGGCUCAGAUUGAACGCUGGCGGCAGGCCUAACACAUGCAAGUCGAGCGGAUGAAGAGAGCUUGCUCUCUGAUUCAGCGGCGGACGGGUGAGUAAUGCCUAGGAAUCUGCCUGGUAGUGGGGGACAACGUUUCGAAAGGAACGCUAAUACCGCAUACGUCCUACGGGAGAAAGCAGGGGACCUUCGGGCCUUGCGCUAUCAGAUGAGCCUAGGUCGGAUUAGCUAGUUGGUGAGGUAAUGGCUCACCAAGGCGACGAUCCGUAACUGGUCUGAGAGGAUGAUCAGUCACACUGGAACUGAGACACGGUCCAGACUCCUACGGGAGGCAGCAGUGGGGAAUAUUGGACAAUGGGCGAAGGCCUGAUCCAGCCAUGCCGCGUGUGUGAAGAAGGUCUUCGGAUUGUAAAGCACUUUAAGUUGGGAGGAAGGGCAUGCACCUAAUACGUGUGUGUCUUGACGUUACCGACAGAAUAAGCACCGGCUAACUCUGUGCCAGCAGCCGCGGUAAUACAGAGGGUGCAAGCGUUAAUCGGAAUUACUGGGCGUAAAGCGCGCGUAGGUGGUUCGUUAAGUUGAAUGUGAAAUCCCCGGGCUCAACCUGGGAACUGCAUCCAAAACUGGCGAGCUAGAGUAUGGUAGAGGGUGGUGGAAUUUCCUGUGUAGCGGUGAAAUGCGUAGAUAUAGGAAGGAACACCAGUGGCGAAGGCGACCACCUGGACUGAUACUGACACUGANGUGCGAAAGCGUGNGGAGCAAACAGGAUUAGAUACCCUGGUAGUCCACG
rnacentral:rRNA from 1 species